rnacentral:tRNA from 3 species
GCCGAUUUAGCUCAAUUGGUAGAGCAACUGAUUUGUAAUCAGUAGGUUGUGGGUUCAAGUCCUAUAAUCGGCACCA